GAUGAACGCUGGCGGCGUGCCUAAUACAUGCAAGUCGAGCGAACAGAUGAGGAGCUUGCUCCUCUGACGUUAGCGGCGGACGGGUGAGUAACACGUGGAUAACCUACCUAUAAGACUGGGAUAACUUCGGGAAACCGGAGCUAAUACCGGAUAAUAUAUUGAACCGCAUGGUUCAAUAGUGAAAGACGGUUUUGCUGUCACGUAUAGAUGGAUCCGCGCCGGAUUAGCUAGUUGGUAGGGUAACGGCUUACCAAGGCAACGAUGCGUAGCCGACCUGAGAGGGUGAUCGGCCACACUGGAACUGAGCCACGGUCCAGACUCCUACGGGAGGCAGCAGUAGGGAAUCGUCCGCAAUGGGCGAAAGCCUGACGGAGCAACGCCGCGUGAGUGAUGGAGGUCUUCGGAUCGUAAAACUCUGUUAUUAGGGAAGAACAAAUGUGUAAGUAACUAUGCACGUCUUGACGGUAACUAAUCAGAAAGCCACGGCUAACUACGUG
rnacentral:rRNA from 1 species